AGGCAGUGGUAUAAUAUGUAACUGGAAAAGAAAACCCCUCCUGUUAUAUUUUCCCUUAUACGUUACUAGCACAUGCAGUGCACGUUAAGAACAAUAGUCUUUUGUUCUGUUCUGUUUAUAAAAAGAAGAAAAAGCAUCCAGAACAAUGGGUGAGAAGAAACAAAAACCUGUCGCCUAAAUCAAGGGAUUGGUAUUCUCCAAAUCAUUGCUACCGCAUUGAGCCAUUUUCUCUGAUUCAGGCUGCCCCUGCUGAAUUUUAGAGAGCGUCAAAACUUAUUGGUUAAAGGGAUGCCUUUAUGAGUAAAACAUGAGAAAUAUUCACUUACUAGGUAAGCAAUUUGUAAGGACUGGAAGUAGAAAUUAAGCAACCAAGACAAGAAGGCUGUCCUAUCAGUUUCAAGAACAACUAAGAGGAUGUUAAAGGACAGCAGAGGGAGCCCCUGCAUGACUUAAGAAAACCGAAGGCAGGCAGAACAGAGACUUUUCAGGGUGCGAAGUUACGCAUGGUGCCCUCUACUGGAGUCACUGGUAAAGAGUUUUGAUUUCAAAAAGAAAUUGACGUAGAAUUUGUUCUUGUUCCAUUGUAUUGGUGAAGAAACUGAAGUUCAAAGUAAUUGGCAGAACAUACUACUUUGGGCAGUAUGGGAGUAGAGGCCUAUGGACGACCAGCAACAGGCUAGGGAUAAGAGUGGAGAUCUGAAUACAAGAAACUAGUAUUCAGGAUACGGGUCCUGGUUGUGAUUCUCUCCUAAUCCUUCGUGUGACUGGAGUUAUGUCGUGUGACUCUCAUAAACAAUGGGUUUUCCUUCUUUGUACGUAAUAGUUGGCAGAAGUGGUUACGUCCUUGCCACAAGGAAAAAGUCUCAUGAGAUGAUUAAUCUAAAACUUAUUUUAGAAAUAUAAAGGACUUUAUGAAUUCAAGGCAGUAUAUUAAGAAAAUAUCCCCUCAAACAAUGAACCAAUGAGACUGGCAAAGAUCUUGAUUUUCCUGAUUUUCAUUUAGAUUCUUAACAUUUGAGUCCAUUGAUAUAUUCGAAGCUCUACCCUUCUGGAAAAUAUCAUAAGAUUUGAAAAAUAUAGCUGCAAAGAGCAAAAGAAGAUUUGCGUCUCAAUAGAAAAGAUCUACAGAUUGAAUAUUGCAUAGAAAACAAUUUAUUCACCUUACAAAGAUAAAAGGAUGAAAACGCCCUGAGCAGUAAUAAAACUUCGCCAUUUUGGGGAGGGCCUCAAGAGGCUAUCUUAUCAAUCUUGGUCGUUGGAAAAGUAUCUGUAAUCUCAAAGAAAACUUUAAAUACUGUCCAAGGAAAAUAUCCAAAUACAUCUUAAAAUGCCACUGUUUUUUAUUCUUUUGCCUUCAGUGAAAGUAUCUUUGCCCAUCCUUUCACAUGGGAAAAAUCCAUUUAGAAUUAGAAUGUUAUUGUUUACAGAUUUGUUCUACAUUAUUAACAUAACCUAAUAAAAUAUCCUAACAACUAGUUAAAACAUAA
ensembl:lncRNA novel transcript